GCACCUGCCACCUGCAAGAAGACCAAGGGCCAGGGAGCCCAGAGACAAAGGACCAGGAACAGGGAAGAGAGAAGGAAAGGGCUGGGAAAGGUAACUGCUCCCGACAAACGUCACCCAAGGGCGGUGGGGUUCACUCUGCUUCUUCAAAUAUACAUCUGUUUGGCUCAAAUCCCCUUUUUAUGUCCUAGAAAAAAAACCUAAUGCCUGCCUUGAGACUUCUGAAAAUUGCAAGAGAACCUAUAUUUUCUUCUCACCUCUGGCUCCAAUUUCCUGCCCUCGCUGAAUUCUUAUUCUCUGCUCUCCAUAAUUCUGCACCUUCUUCACCCAGCUCUCUCCUCCAGCCCCAAAGCAAUCAUUUUACAAGCAUUGCACGUUAGCAGAAUUUUUAUUGAUGGUUUGUAGGUCACGAGAGACGGGUUACAUUCUCUCCCCACAGGCAAGAGACCUGGCGCCCAGCACUAGCUGUUCCGUCUCUUGAAUGUUCUCCAGGGAUUUCUCACUGGCUGAGCCUCCGCGUGCAACACAGGGCUCCUGUCUCCCUCUCCCCAGGAAUCCUCCCUCACAGCAUGAUGCCCCGUCCCCUAUGGGCACAUCUGAGGCCCAUCUAGGUGUGCAAAGGAAUGAAAAUCCUUUGGCUCCUUUGGGAACCCAGCUGUCAAAGACAGCUGCUCUAAAUGGUGGGCCUUCUCCCUCCUGUCACCCACGUUGCUCUGUCUUCUAGUUCAUUAGAAAGCAGAGAAAGUCUCUCAUUGUCCCUUCCUCACUCAUUCCCUGACCCAUGCCAUUCUGCGUGCUGUGGUCCUUUGGGCUGUAAGCCACCAGUUACACCUGUCAAGGAUCUCGAGUUCAAAGCCAGCCUCAGCAAUGAUGAGGUGCUUAGCAGCUCAAUGAGACCCUGCCUCUAAAUAAAAUACAAAAUAGGGCUGGGGAUGUGGCUCAGUGGUUGAGUGUCCCUGAGUUCAAUCCCUGGUACCAAAAACAAAAAGAAAAAGAAAAAGCACCAAUAGGAUGAAUUUCCUUACCUCAAUCUACC
rnacentral:lncRNA from 1 species